UACGAAGGGGGCUAGCGUUGCUCGGAAUCACUGGGCGUAAAGGGUGCGUAGGCGGGUCUUUAAGUCAGGGGUGGAAUCCUGGAGCUCAACUCCAGAACUGCCUUUGAUACUGAGGAUCUUGAGUAUGGGAGAGGUGAGUGGAACUGCGAGUGUAGAGGUGAAAUUCGUAGAUAUUCGCAAGAACACCAGUGGCGAAGGCGGCUCACUGGCCCAUUACUGACGCUGAGGCACGAAAGCGUGGGGAGCAAACAGG
rnacentral:rRNA from 1 species